rnacentral:rRNA from 1 species
AGCGUUGUUCGGAUUUACUGGGCGUAAAGGGUGCGUAGGCGGUUAGAAAAGUUUGGUGUGAAAUCUUCGGGCUCAACCCGGAAACUGCACUGAAAACUAUUUAACUAGAGGAUCGGAGAGGAGAUUGGAAUUCUCAGUGUAGCAGUGAAAUGCGUAGAUAUUGAGAGGAACACCAGUUGCGAAGGCGGAUCUCUGGACGAUUCCUGACGCUGAGGCACGAAAGCUGGGGGAGCGAAGAGGAUUAGAUACCCUCGUAGUCCCAGCCGUAAACGGUGCGCACUUGCUGUGGGCGGAUUCGACCCCGUCCGUGGCGAAGCUAACGCGUUAAGUGCGCCGCCUGGGGAGUACGGUCGCAAGAUUAAAACUCAAAGAAAUUGACGGGGGCCUGCACAAGCGGUGGAGUAUGUGGCUUAAUUCGAUGCAACGCGAAGAACCUUACCUGGCCUUGACAUGUAGUGGCCCGGGUGCGAAAUCACCCUUUUCUUCGGAACUGCUACACAGGUGCUGCAUGGCUGUCGUCAGCUCGUGUCGUGAGAUGUUGGGUUAAGUCCCGCAACGAGCGCAACCCCCGUGUUCUGUUGCCACCCGGAUGAGAAUCCGGAGCACUCUGGACAGACUGCCUGGUUUCAACCAGGAGGAAGGUGGGGAUGACGUCAAGUCAGUAUGGCCCUUACGGCCAGGGCUGCACACGUACUACAAUGCCCGGUACAAUGGGAAGCGAGACCGCGAGGUGGAGCAAAUCCUAAAAACCGGGCCCAGUUCAGAUUGUAGGCUGCAACUCGCCUACAUGAAGGAGGAAUCGCUAGUAAUGCCGUAUCAGCUACGACGGCGUGAAUACGUUCCCAGGCCUUGUACACACCGCCCGUCACAUCAUGAAAGUCGAUUGUACCCGAAGUCGCCGAGUUAACCGCAAGGAGACAAGCGCCGAAGGUAUGGUUGGUAAUUGGGAUGAAGUCGUAACAAGGUAGCCGUAGGGGAACCUGUGGCUG